rnacentral:rRNA from 1 species
GAUGAACGCUAGCGGCAGGCUUAAUACAUGCAAGUCGAGGGACAGCACAGGUAGCAAUACUGGGUGGUAACCGGCAAACGGGUGCGGGACACGUACACAACCUUCCUUUAAGUGGGGGAUAGCCCAGAGAAAUUUGGAUUAAUACCCCGUAAUAUAGUUGAAUGGCAUCAUUUGAUUAUUAUAGCUACGGCGCUUAAUGAUGGGUGUGCGGCUGAUUAGAUAGUUGGCGGGGUAACGGCCCACCAAGUCUACGAUCAGUAGCUGAUGUGAGGGCAUGAUCAGCCAAACGGGCACUGAGACACGGGCCCGACUCCUACGGGAGGCAGCAGUAAGGAAUAUUGGUCAAUGGACGCAAGUUUGAACCAGCCAUGCCGCGUGAAGGAUUAAGGUCCUCUGGAUUGUAAACUUCUUUUAUUUGGGACGAAAAAGGGCCUUUCUAGGUCAACUGACGGUACCAGAUGAAUAAGCACCGGCUAACUCCGUGCCAGCCGCCGCCGUAACAC